CGUUGCUUCCUCUAGCUACUGUAAAUGAAUGAGCAGUAUGGAAAUGAAUGGAAAAGCAUUACAUGAGCACAGGUAGACUAUAAGCUUUCCACUUCAUGUUGAGAAGAAAAACACGAGUGAGGAUAUAGAAAAAAAUAUUCAAUGUGAAUAUCACUGGAAAUACAUCAGUUCUUUUAUUUUUAUGUGUGGUUACACAAGACUCUGCUUGAUUGACUGUGGUUAAACAUGAAGAAAAUCAAGCGAAGCAAUGGAGCAAAGAACAACGCAGGUGCUCUUUUCCUGAGGUUUUUGAAAUAGUGCACUAUGUGCAAAGCCAGUGAGCCGCACUUUGUGUUGGCUGGCUGGGGAAACAGUUUCAAAGAAUUCUGUUAUCAAAACUAGUGAGCAAGCUUAGGAGAAGCAAAAACGUAACAAAGCAACAGCAACAAAAAGUUAUAUUUGCAAGAGGCGGCUUGGUAUUGAUGGAUCUGUCCUACAUUGGAUUGAAUCUUCACUGAAGACCCUAGGAACCUUUGGGGAGAAGAAGAAUAUAUCCCCAGAUUCAAGACAUUCACGAUUCUAAAUGUGAUGUUUUCUGAGGCAGUUUGAAAGAGUCAAGGUUUGGAAGCUGAUAAAAUGAGGAGAGGCAGCGAAAUGGACAACAUAGCUUGAAUCAGUUACAGCACUGACUUGAAAUUAUUUAGAACACCAGCCCCAUCCCACUCAAUCCCCAUCCUGUUUUUGUCUUAUAUGUCUGUGAUGUUCCAUGAGAAAGACAGAGAGCCUACCAGUGCUGCUGAACCCAGACUCUCUUGCAUCCCAUGUCACUUACACCAGAGGAACUCCGAGAACAGGCUGAAACCAUGCAGUGGCUGUUUGCACAGAAUUUACCACUGCAAACUUUUCUGACUCUGGACAACUGCACCGCCACGGUUGUGCCAGAGCAGGCCAAAGAACAAGAGGUUAUGGACAAUUUUUUAAUAGUCCACAAACCCCCAGGGAAGCGGGACAUCUGUUGGAGUACUCUUUCAGUAGACAUCUCAAGUGGCCAGCUAACCUGCUGGGGAAUGGAUCAUCCUGCAGAGGGUGAAUCAUGAGCUCACAGAUGAAAGUCACCCAAGAUGACAUCCCAGAUACUAUUGGCAAACAUCAUACAUGCCGAAAUCAAAGAUGAAGCUGUCAAACAGUAAGAGUGGAUGCUGCAGGGAUAGACAGCAACAUCAUGUUAAAGAAAACGCUCUCAGAAGCCUUCAGGGGAAGUCACUGCACAAAGUGGAAAGUGUGUUUAAAAAAGAGAGAGAAAAAUUAAAGUAUAUAAGCCAACUCAAGGUAUCUUGAGGUACCAGUAGUGUGUUGUAGAACGUUCGACUCCUGGGAUGCAUAUGUGGAAUGGAAGAUUUGGACUUUAUCUGGAUGUUCUACUGGCUAUUCAGAAGAUGGCCCUGAGAGAGGAGUUGACUCUACUUCUCUUCUGAAGUUGGGUUAUUGCAAAAAGUAUCAUUUCAGGCAAGCUCUGUAAGCCCAUGUCUGAGUCACUGAGAUGUGCUUUGCAAUGGAGGAUUAAGGUUAUAAAUCUCUUCCAUGAAGAUCUUUUGUGCCAUACAGGAACUUACGGGGCAUAAUUUCUGUUGAGGAACUGGAUUGUGACUGACAGGCACCAAAAAAGCUGAAGAGUUUGCACAUGGAAGCAUGACUGUGCUUGCAGUCCCACAGUAGAAAAGGCAACCAGGAGGGGGGAAUAAUCAGUAACAAGGAAAGAACUGCCUGGGAUGUCCGGGCUGGCCACCAGUGGAAAAAAAAGAAAGAAUCAGAUGAGAACUGAGUGAAGUAUAAGAAACCAAGCACAGAUAUUGCCUGGAUAUUUUUGUGCCUGAAGUUGUUCCUUGCCACCUGUUACCUGAUUCUUCAAUUGCACCAACUUUCUCUUCCAUGACAGUGGUUGGCAUCCUGCUAAGGACAAGUAAGCACUCUUGGUUUUCAAGAUGGUAUAGGUUUUCACUUAGUUCAGUCCCUAGAACAGGUAGGACAAAAAUGUUUUUGCAUCCCAUUCUUUCUUCAUUCCAGAACCAGGAAUUAUUGAACCAC
ensembl:lncRNA